GACGAACGCUGGCGGCGUGCUUAACACAUGCAAGUCGAACGCUGAAGCUCAGCUUGCUGGGUGGAUGAGUGGCGAACGGGUGAGUAACACGUGAGUAACCUGCCCUCUUCUUUGGGAUAACGCCCGGAAACGGGUGCUAAUACUGGAUAUUCACUGAUUCUCGCAUGGGGGUUGAUGGAAAGGUUUUUUCUGGUGGGGGAUGGGCUCGCGGCCUAUCAGCUUGUUGGUGGGGUGAUGGCCUACCAAGGCUUUGACGGGUAGCCGGCCUGAGAGGGUGACCGGUCACAUUGGGACUGAGAUACGGCCCAGACUCCUACGGGAGGCAGCAGUGGGGAAUAUUGCACAAUGGGCGAAAGCCUGAUGCAGCGACGCCGCGUGAGGGAUGGAGGCCUUCGGGUUGUAAACCUCUUUCGCUCAUGGUCAAGCCGCAGCGUUGGGUUGUGGUGAGGGUAGUGGGUAAAGAAGCGCCGGCUAACUACGUG
rnacentral:rRNA from 1 species